rnacentral:rRNA from 1 species
CCUACGGGAGGCAGCAGUCGGGAAUAUUGCGCAAUGGAGGAAACUCUGACGCAGUGACGCCGCGUGCAGGAAGAAGGUUUUCGGAUUGUAAACUGCUUUAGACAGGGAAGAAACAAGACAGUACCUGUAAAAUAAGCUCCGGCUAACUACGGCCAAGCAGCCGCGGUAAAACGUAGGGAGAAAGGGUUAUCCGGAUUAAUUGGGUGCAAAGGUGGGGUAGAGGGGAAGUCAAGUUGGUUGUGAAAUCCCUCGGCUUAACUGAGGAACUGCAACCAAAACUAACUUUCUUGAGUGCUGGAGAGGAAAGUGGAAUUCCUAGUGUAGCGGUGAAAUGCGUAGAUAUUAGGAGGAACACCAGUGGCGAAGGCGACUUUCUGGACAGUAACUGACGUUGAGGCACGAAAGUGUGGGGAGCAAACAGGAUUAGAUACCCCUGUAGUC